rnacentral:lncRNA from 10 species
CUCCUGAGCUCAAGUGAUCCGCCCACCUCGGCCUCCCAAAGUGCUGGGAUUACAGGCGUGAGCCACCAUGCCCGGCCAACCACUGGAGUCUUAGACCUGUAUGCAUUCGCCCAUCCAUAAAAACAGAGGCUUGUGCUUAUCACUUGGAACAUGGCCUGGCCAGCAAUAAUGACUGCUUCCCGGAUUUUUUUUAUUGAAGUACCAGGAACACGGCCAAGGAGAAAUGAAAUUCGAGUGCCCGGGAGAUCGCCACAGCUCUGGACGGGGCUUAGGCCCACAAAGUCCUGGCCACCACGUGAGAAGAAAGUUUUUGAGAAGCAGCCAUGCGAAUCAACCCAAAAAUUCCAAGUAAGAGCUGGGAAUGAGGUACUCUAUCAGGACACCCACUAGCCGACUUUCUCUUCAUUUAAUCCUGGUGGCUACACGUAACAUUUCCAUGUUCCUAGACCAAAAGGUCGGCCCUAAGCAUUUGGCAUUGUUAAAAUUCCACCAUACGUCAGGCACGGUGGCUCACACCUGUGAUCUCAGCACCUUGGGAGGCUGAGGCAGGAAGAUCGCUUGAGCCCAGGAGUUUGAGACCAGCUUUGCCAACAUGGAGAAACCCCAACUCUAUCAAAAAUACAAAAAGUAGCCAGGUGUGAUGGCAUGUGCCUGUAGUCCCAACUACUUGGGAGGCUGAGGUGGGAGGACUGCUGGAGCCUGGAAGGUUGAGGCUGCAGUGAGCCAUGAUUGUGG